UGGGGAAUAUUGCACAAUGGGCGCAAGCCUGAUGCAGCCAUGCCGCGUGUGUGAAGAAGGCCUUCGGGUUGUAAAGCACUUUCAGCGGGGAGGAAGGCGAUAAGGUUAAUAACCUCAUCGAUUGACGUUACCCGCAGAAGAAGCACCGGCUAACUCCGUGCCAGCAGCCGCGGUAAUACGGAGGGUGCAAGCGUUAAUCGGAAUUACUGGGCGUAAAGCGCACGCAGGCGGUCUGUAAAGUCGGAUGUGAAAUCCCCGGGCUCAACCUGGGAACUGCAUUGGAAACUGGCAGGCUAGAGUCUUGUAGAGGGGGGUAGAAUUCCAGGUGUAGCGGUGAAAUGCGUAGAGAUCUGGAGGAAUACCGGUGGCGAAGGCGAGCCCCUUGACAAAGACUGACGCACAGGUGCGAAAGCGUGGGGAGCAAACAGG
rnacentral:rRNA from 1 species